GUACAGCAGUCGAGAAUUUUUCUCAAUGGGGGAAACCCUGAAGGAGCGACGCCGCGUGGAGGAUGAAGGUCUUCGGGUUGUAAACUCCUGUCAUUUGGGAACAAGUGCCAACAAGUAACUACUGUUGGCUUGAUAGUACCAGAAGAGGAAGAGACGGCUAACUCUGUGCCAGCAGCCGCGGUAAUACAGAGGUCUCAAGCGUUGUUCGGAUUCAUUGGGCGUAAAGGGUGCGUAGGUGGCGCCGUAAGUCAGGUGUGAAAUUUCGGAGCUUAACUCCGAAACUGCAUUUGAUACUGCGGUGCUUGAGGACUGGAGAGGAGACUGGAAUUUACGGUGUAGCAGUGAAAUGCGUAGAGAUCGUAAGGAAGACCAGUGGCGAAGGCGGGUCUCUGGACAGUUCCUGACACUGAGGCACGAAGGCCAGGGGAGCGAAACGGGAUUAGAUACCCCU
rnacentral:rRNA from 1 species